rnacentral:rRNA from 1 species
AACGCUAGCUACAGGCUUAACACAUGCAAGUCGAGGGGAAACGAUAUUGGAAGCUUGCCUCCGAUAGGCGUCGACCGGCGCACGGGUGAGUAACGCGUAUCCAACCUGCCCAUCACUUGGGAAUAACCUUGCGAAAGUAAGACUAAUGCCCAAUGAUAUCCCACGAAGGCAUCCGAAUGGGAUUAAAGAUUUAUCGGUGAUGGAUGGGGAUGCGUCUGAUUAGCUUGUUGGCGGGGUAACGGCCCACCAAGGCAACGAUCAGUAGGGGUUCUGAGAGGAAGGUCCCCCACAUUGGAACUGAGACACGGUCCAAACUCCUACGGGAGGCAGCAGUGAGGAAUAUUGGUCAAUGGGCGAGAGCCUGAACCAGCCAAGUAGCGUGCAGGAUGACGGCCCUAUGGGUUGUAAACUGCUUUUAUAAGGGAAUAAAGUGGGUCACGUGUGACUUUUUGCAUGUACCUUAUGAAUAAGGACCGGCUAAUUCCGUGCCAGCAGCCGCGGUAAUACGGAAGGUCCGGGCGUUAUCCGGAUUUAUUGGGUUUAAAGGGAGCGUAGGCCGGAGAUUAAGCGUGUUGUGAAAUGUAGAGGCUCAACCUCUGCACUGCAGCGCGAACUGGUCUUCUUGGGUACGCACAACGUGGGCGGAAUUCGUGGUGUAGCGGUGAAAUGCUUAGAUAUCACGAAGAACUCCGAUUG